rnacentral:rRNA from 1 species
AUUGAACGCUGGCGGCAUGCUUUACACAUGCAAGUCGAACGGUAACAGGUUAAGCUGACGAGUGGCGAACGGGUGAGUAAUGCAUCGGAACGUGCCCGAUCGUGGGGGAUAACGCAGAGAAAGCUGCGCUAGUACCGCAUACGAUCUGAGGAUGAAAGAGGGGGACCGUAAGGCCUCGCGCGAUCGGAGCGGCCGAUGUCAGAAUAGGUAGUUGGUGGGGUAAAGGACCACCAAGCCGACGAUCUGUAGCUGGUCUGAGAGGACGACCAGCCACACUGGGACUGAGACACGGCCCAGACUCCUACGGGAGGCAGCAGUGGGGAAUUUUGGACAAUGGGCGAAAGCCUGAUCCAGCAAUGCCGCGUGCAGGAAGAAGGCCUUCGGGUUGUAAACUGCUUUUGUACGGAGCGAAAAGGUCCUUUCUAAUACAAGGGGCUCAUGACGGUACCGUAAGAAUAAGCACCGGCUAACUACGUGCCAGCCGCCGCCGUAAAAC